rnacentral:lncRNA from 1 species
AGAGAAAGCAGGAAAGGGGAUAAAUUGAAAACCAGCCCCAGCAGGCUAGAAACCCCCAGCAAGCAAUUUUGUCCGCCAACCGAUUAUAGGGACAUAGAGCAAGAAAAGGGGAAGAGAGAAAAAUCAUCCGCCGGAAAGGCACCUUCUACCACCACGAUUGAAACUAACUAAAUCCUUUUGUCUGCUGCAGGAAAACAAAGGAUUGAUAAUGGCAGCAAGAAGCAACGCCAGGGAAAUCACCAAAAACUGGGGCAGAAAAUUUUCUGCCGAUUGUCAAAAAUUUUCUCGGAAGAUCGGGGAAACAAUUUCAAUACAUUUAAGUUCUAGGUCGCCCACCAGUAUAAUGCGGGAAUACAUUUAAGUUCUAGGUCGCCCACCAGUAAAAUGCGGGAAUACUUUUAAGUUUUAGGUCGUCCACCAGUAAAAUGCGGGAAUACAUUUAAGUUCUAGGUCGCCCACCAGUAAAAUGCGGGAAUACUUUUAAGUUCUAGGUCAUCCACCAGUAUAAUGCGGGAAUACAUUUAAGUUCUAGGUCGCCCACCAGUAAAAUGCGGGAAUACUUUUAAGUUCUAGGUCGCCCACCAGUAUAAUGCGGGAAUACAUUUAAGUUCUAGGUCGCCCACCAGUAUAAUGCGGGAAUACAUUUCAGUUCUAGGUCGCCCACUAGUAUAAUGAGGGAAUACAUUUUGUC